CGCUCCCGGGGGACUAAGAGGAUGCCAAACACGACUGCGCCUUUUAUAGGGAGUUUGAAACUAAACUCGUCCCCGCGCCUCUGCUAUUGGCUGCUGGUGCGAAAGCGAGUCUCUGGUUGGCUGCGUUUGAAGACCUUUCGCCAAUCGCGUGGCAAAGAGGGGGAGGAUUUCGGCGGCUGUAGCAGUUUCUGCCUCCCUUUCCAGUCUGGCUGAUAGGGACCGGCGCAUCACGUGGGUGUAUGUUGCACACAAGUUGACUUCUGGAUGGGGCAUCAAUCUAUAGCAGCUGACAGGCUACAAUUACUGGUGCUCUGGGCCUCUGCUUUAUGGUGGUCCACCAUUCAAACCCCAGUUACAUUCAUUCAUUGAUUGAUGGAAUAAAUCUCUUUAAAAA